ACGCUGGCGGCAGGCCUAACACAUGCAAGUCGAGCGGUAGAGAGAAGCUUGCUUCUCUUGAGAGCGGCGGACGGGUGAGUAAUGCCUAGGAAUCUGCCUGGUAGUGGGGGAUAACGUUCGGAAACGGACGCUAAUACCGCAUACGCCCUACGGGAGAAAGCAGGGGACCUUCGGGCCUUGCGCUAUCAGAUGAGCCUAGGUCGGAUUAGCUAGUUGGUGGGGUAAUGGCUCACCAAGGCGACGAUCCGUAACUGGUCUGAGAGGAUGAUCAGUCACACUGGAACUGAGACACGGUCCAGACUCCUACGGGAGGCAGCAGUGGGGAAUAUUGGACAAUGGGCGAAAGCCUGAUCCAGCCAUGCCGCGUGUGUGAAGAAGGUCUUCGGAUUGUAAAGCACUUUAAGUUGGGAGGAAGGGCAGUUGCCUAAUACGUAACUGUUUUGACGUUACCGACAGAAUAAGCACCGGCUAACUCUGUGCCAGCAGCCGCGGUAAUACAGAGGGUGCAAGCGUUAAUCGGAAUUACUGGGCGUAAAGCGCGCGUAGGUGGUUUGUUAAGUUGGAUGUGAAAUCCCCGGGCUCAACCUGGGAACUGCAUUCAAAACUGACUGACUAGAGUAUGGUAGAGGGUGGUGGAAUUUCCUGUGUAGCGGUGAAAUGCGUAGAUAUAGGAAGGAACACCAGUGGCGAAGGCGACCACCUGGACUGAUACUGACACUGAGGUGCGAAAGCGUGGGGAGCAAAC
rnacentral:rRNA from 1 species